rnacentral:rRNA from 1 species
GUCUUUUUGUGAAUAAUUUAAAGUCUAACCUGCCCAAUGAGAGUAACUUCAAUGGCCGCGGUACCUUAACCGUGCAAAGGUAGCAUAAUCAUUAGUUUCUUAAUUAGAAGCUUGUAUGAAGGGUUGAAUGAGAAAAUAGCUGUCUCUGUUUAAUUUAAUUAGAAUUUUAUUUUUAAGUUAAAAAGCUUAAAUUUUUAUUGAAGACGAGAAGACCCUAUAGAGUUUUAUACUAAAAUUGUUUUAAUCUUUUAGGAUUUAAGGAUUUUAAUGUAUUUAGUAUUUAAUUGGGGUGAUUGAAAAAUUAAAUAAACUUUUUCUUAAUAGAAUCAUAAAUUUAUGAGUAGUUGAUCCUUUAUUAAAGAUUAUAAGAUAAAAUUACCUUAGGGAUAACAGCGUAAUUUUUUUUUAGAGUUCAAAUUGAAAAAAAAGAUUGCGACCUCGAUGUUGGAUUAAAAUUAAAUUUUGGUGUAGCAGCUAAGAAUUUAGGUCUGUUCGACCUUUAAAAUUUU